GACGAACGCUGGCGGCGUGCUUAACACAUGCAAGUCGAACGGUGAACCUCUUCGGAGGGGCUCAGUGGCGAACGGGUGCGUAACACGUGGGCAACCUGCCCCCGGCUCUGUGAUAACUCCAAGAAAUUGGGGCUAAUACCGGAUGUUCACCGCUUCCCGCAUGGGUGGUGGUUGAAAGGUUUUCCGGCUGGUGGUGGGCCCGCGGCCUAUCAGCUGGUUGGGGGUGUAGGGGUCUACCAAGGCCACGGCGGGUAGCCGACCUGAGAGGGUGACCGGCCACACUGCGCCUGCGAGACGGCCCAGACUCCAACGGGAGGCAGUGGUGGGGAGUAUGGCGGAAUGGGGGGAAGCCUGACGCAGAGACGCCGCGUGGGGAAAAACGGCCUUCGAGUUGUAAACAUCUUUCAGCAGGGACGAGGAGGAAGUGACGGUACCUGAACAAAAAGCACCGGCUAACUACGUG
rnacentral:rRNA from 1 species